UACAGAGGGUGCAAGCGUUGUUCGGAAUUAUUGGGCGUAAAGCGCGCGCAGGCGGUGCGGUAAGUCUCUGGUGAAAGCGCUCGGCUUAACUGGGCGAGGGCCGGGGAGACUGCCACGCUGGAGGGGAGCAGAGGCGAGUGGAAUUCCGGGUGUAGUGGUGAAAUGCGUAGAGACCCGGAGGAACACCAGUGGCGAAGGCGGCUUCCUGGUCUGCAACUGACGCUGUGGCGCGAAAGCUAGGGGAGCAAACGGG
rnacentral:rRNA from 1 species